rnacentral:rRNA from 1 species
GAUGAACGCUAGCGGGAGGCCUAACACAUGCGAGCCGAGCGGUAGAGUUUCUUCGGAAACUUGAGAGCGGCGCACGGGUGCGUAACACGUGUGCAACCUACCUUUAUCUGGGGGAUAGCCUUUCGAAAGGAAGAUUAAUACCCCAUAAUAUAAUGAUUGGCAUCAAUUAUUAUUGAAAACUCCGGUGGAUAGAGAUGGGCACGCGCAAGAUUAGAUAGUUGGUGAGGUAACGGCUCACCAAGUCAAUGAUCUUUAGGGGUCCUGAGAGGGAGAUCCCCCACACUGGUACUGAGACACGGACCAGACUCCUACGGGAGGCAGCAGUGAGGAAUAUUGGACAAUGGGUGAGAGCCUGAUCCAGCCAUCCCGCGUGAAGGAUGACGGUCCUAUGGAUUGUAAACUUCUUUUGUACAGGGAUAAACCUACCCUCGUGAGGGUAGCUGAAGGUACUGUACGAAUAAGCACCGGCUAACUCCGUG